UGGGGAAUUUUGGACAAUGGGCGAAAGCCUGAUCCAGCAAUGCCGCGUGUGUGAAGAAGGCCUUCGGGUUGUAAAGCACUUUUGUCCGGAAAGAAAUCCUUGGCUCUAAUACAGUCGGGGGAUGACGGUACCGGAAGAAUAAGCACCGGCUAACUACGUGCCAGCAGCCGCGGUAAUACGUAGGGUGCAAGCGUUAAUCGGAAUUACUGGGCGUAAAGCGUGCGCAGGCGGUUUGCUAAGACCGAUGUGAAAUCCCCGGGCUCAACCUGGGAACUGCAUUGGUGACUGGCAGGCUAGAGUAUGGCAGAGGGGGGUAGAAUUCCACGUGUAGCAGUGAAAUGCGUAGAGAUGUGGAGGAAUACCGAUGGCGAAGGCAGCCCCCUGGGCCAAAUACUGACGCUCAUGCACGAAAGCGUGGGGAGCAAAACAGGAUUAGAUACCCUGGUAGUCCACGCCCUAAAACGAUGUCAACUAGUUGUUGGGGAUUCAUUUCCUUAGUAACGUAGCUAACGCGUGAAGUUGACCGCCUGGGGGAGUACGGUCGCAAGAUUAAAACUCAAAUGAAUUGACGGGGUCAUAGCUGUUUCCU
rnacentral:rRNA from 1 species